CCCCAUGGGAGUCUGACAACAGCCAAUAGAAUACAUGUUCUUGCACAGGAACAGGAAGCUCAAGGGCAAGGCCCAAGAGAAGGUAUAAAUAACUCUCGUUCUCAACUCCAUGGGGUCAGCUGCUCAGAACCACCCAUGCUUGCUGGUUCU